AUGCUUUGCCACAUAUUUCGAUUGCCAUUUUAUUGUGUGAGCAUGUUGAUUGUGUUCCACUCGUGCAUAAAGCCAGGGAUGAAGAUCAAAAGGCCAGCAGGAAGACAACCCAUGUCAAAGGCCAGUGCAUCUACUCAAGUCCCUUUGGGAUCUGAACCCAAAGAGGCUGCUGCAGAAGGGAAGAAGAGGAAGGAGAGGAUCAAAAAGACCACUGCUAGAGUGCUUGGGAGAUCAUCAAUCAUGAGAGAUUCUGAAGAGGAAGAGGAAGAGGAAGAAGAGGUUGCUGCACCAGCACCUAAGGCCCAGAAGCCUGUGGGUGAUGCUAUAAAGUCAGGGGCUGCUUCAUCAAAGCCCAAAGAAGCACCCAAAGUAGCCUCCAAGCCCAAGAGUGCACCUAAGAGGAAUACCAGGAGUAUACCAGCUACUGAGAAGAACAGGGCCCCAGUGCCUGAAGUUGCUGCUGAUGAAGAUGAUGAAGGACAAGUCCUGAGAAAGCUCAAACCCAAGAUUCCAGACCACAAUGAUGCUCAUCCUGUGGCUGAGAACAUGAAGAUCAGGAGAGACUCAGGGUUGAGGCUAUGGAGAGAGACAGAUCCAUAUGCUACCAGGAGAAGGACUGUUGUUGAUUACAGGUUCCACACAAAGGAACAGCAGGACUUUUAUGAGACAAUCUUGUUGGACAAGAAGCCUAUAGUGUGUGAAAUGAGGUGGGUCGACUGA
rnacentral:rRNA from 1 species